GUCACCGCUUUGACCGACCAAUUCUCACUCUCGCUCCCCUCAGCUCACUCUCUUUCGGCGCUCCAGGAGCGAAGAACUCGACACCGCCACGUCGUGUCCCAUCAUGGUGUCCUGGAGCGAUGAAAUCGACCAAAUUCAGCUGGGGUGAAGAGUGAAGAGGACAUUGAGAAAUUUUUGGAACAAUUAUGAAGGGAUAUUGAUCUGAAUCGAGAGCUCAAAGAAGAAAAGAAGGAAACAAGAACAACGUCGAAGGUAGAAGAGAAAAGAUAGCACAGGAAGAGAAGAUGGAGCUAGAGCUGUAUCUUGCUGACCAUGUCACAGCAGAUAACCAAACUAAGUCAAAAAUUUGGAAGAUGCGGAACAUGGCGCGGCUACAUAGGAUUGUAACACUAAGUCUGUAUUUAUGUUCAAAUCACCCACUUUACCUUUGAAUUACUUCCUACGCC